UGUACACGCUGUGACUAGCAUAUCAAUAAGCGGAGGAAAAGAAACUAACAAGGAUUCCCCUAGUAACGGCGAGUGAAGCGGGAAGAGCUCAAAUUUGAAAUCUUAAAGGGUUUCCCUUUACGAAUUGUAGUUUAAAGAAGUGUUUUCUGUUGAGGUUUUGGUAAAAGUUCUUUGGAAUAGGACAUCAUAGAGGGUGAGAAUCCCGUAUUUGACCUUUACUUUCAACUUUGUGAUACACUUUCAAAGAGUCGGAUUGUUUGGGAAUGCAGUCCAAAAUGGGUGGUAAAUUUCAUCUAAAGCUAAAUAUUGGCGAGAGACCGAUAGCGAACAAGUACCGUGAGGGAAAGAUGAAAAGAACUUUGAAAAGAGAGUUAAACAGUACGUGAAAUUGUCAAAAGGGAAGCGUUUGACACCAGUGUUGUUUUUCUGAAAAUCAAUUAAAGAACUGUUUAUGCUAAGUUGUUUAGACUUUAUCAGCUAUCUGUUUAGUUUUGAGCUUUUCUUUAAUGCACCUUUCAGUUAACAAGUCAACAUCAAUUUCUUUUGCUGUAAAAAAGCUUGAGGAAGGUGGCUUGAGAUUCGUCUUAAGUGUUUAUAGCCUCUUGCCUAUGCAGUCGGAGAGAUUGAGGUCUGCAGCGUAGAUCCUUCGGGGCUAAAUGCAUUUGUGCUAAGUUAUAGCAUUUUAUAGACAACUUGUUGACUAUGAUUUGUCUUGUAGCUUACUCGCUUAUGUUAUUUUACCUACGCUUAGGAUGUUGAAGAUGUAGCACAUCAU
rnacentral:rRNA from 1 species